AUCUCAAAGCAGGUGACUUGUCUUCAUUUUGUGUAGAAAAGGAGUCAGCUCCCAGUGGUCGCGCAGGAUAAAUGGAAAAGGCAGGACUCGAGAAUGAUGAGAGACACUCAGUGUGAAAUCAACAAAAUGGCAUAGAAAGAGCUUCCCAGUAUAACCGGAUUUUUUUCAUGGGAUCACACUGACCUUCCAGGUCAGUGGGAAGAGAAUGGAUUCUGUGAUCAUGACUAGCCAUUUAAUAAAGCUAGACUUUGUAUUUCAGUGGUUCCUACAGAGCUCCGUAAGAUGUCAGGCAAGGAACAGAGAAAAAUAAAUAAAUUCCAGCCUGUCAUCUUAAGUUGAUCUCUAUCAAUUCAUCUUCUCCACUCUACUGUGAGGCAUGCUGGACUGUGACCCCUUCUUUAAGACAAAUGCAGCUUGAAAGAAACCAUGCCCAGGUCACCCUGCCGCCUGAGAGUUUGGGAUCUUGCAUAAAAUAAGCCUAUGUUCUUUCUCCACCUUCCAAGAAGUCGUUGGCAAUCUGUAGCCAUGUACAUUUGGAAAGGAAUCAAGUUGGAUGCUUUGCCUGGGGCCCCCGGAUCCUCUGCCUUGCAGAGUUCCCUCCCUUUGGUCUGAAGCCUUCCAGCCAGGGCUUUAAUUACCCCCACACCUUCUCGAUCUCUGUAUUUAUCAGGAUUGUUUGACUUGCGCGUGACUGAAACUCAACUCAAACCAUCUUUACCAACUCACAUACCUGGGAAAGAUACCAGGUUUAUCACAGAAUCUAAAGAAGAGCUGCAGAGAUCGGAGUCUUAGAAAUCAGAACUGCAAUACAACCCUACCAGAGACUUUUCAAUUUCUCUUUCUUUCUUUCUUUCUUUCUUUCUUUCUUUCUUUCUUUCUCUCUCUCUCUCUCUCUUUCUUUCUUUCUUUCUUUCUUUCUUUCUUUCUUUCUUUCUCUUUUUCUCAUCUUGGCUUCUUUCUGAGAAACGUUUCCUCUGUGCGAUAGCCAGCAUCCCUAAAUGCACAUUCUUCUGGGUUAGCAAACACCGCUGUUAAACCACCUUCUCCAAGGGCGCCUGGGUGGCUCAGUCGGUUAAGCAUCCGACUUCGGCUCAGGCCGCGAUCUCACAGUUCGUGAGUUGGAGCC